rnacentral:rRNA from 1 species
AUUGAACGCUGGCGGCAGGCCUAACACAUGCAAGUCGAACGAGUGGCGGACGGGUGAGUAAUGUCUGGGAAACUGCCCGUUGGAGAGGGAUAACUACAGGAAACGGUAGCUAAUACCGCAUACCAUCGGAUGUGCGCAGAUGGGAUUAGCUAGUGGGUGGGGGAACGGCUCACCUAGGCGACGAUCCCUAGCUGGUCUGAGAGGAUGACCAGCCACACUGGAACUGAGACACGGUCCAGACUCCUACGGGAGGCAGCAGUGGGGAAUAUUGCACAAUGGGCGCAAGCCUGAUGCAGCCAUGCCGCGUGUAUGAAGAAGGCCUUCGGGUUGUAAAGUACUUUCAGCGAGGAGGCGUUACUCGCAGAAGAAGCACCGGCUAACUCCGUGCCAGCAGCCGCGGUAAUUC